GACGAACGCUGGCGGCGUGCUUAACACAUGCAAGUCGAACGGUGAAGGGACCGGUUUUUGCUGGUUCUGGAUGAGUGGCGAACGGGUGAGUAACACGUGAGUAACCUGCCCCCUUCUUCUGGAUAACCGCAUGAAAGUGUGGCUAAUACGGGAUAUUCUGCGCCUGCUGCAUGGUGGGUGUGGGAAAGAUAUUGGUUCGGUGGGGGAUGGGCUCGCGGCCUAUCAGCUUGUUGGUGGGGUGAUGGCCUACCAAGGCGGGGACGGGUAGCCGGCCUGAGAGGGUGGACGGUCACACUGGGACGGAGACACGGCCCAGACUCCUACGGGAGGCAGCAGUGGGGAAUAUUGCACAAUGGGCGCAAGCCUGAUGCAGCGACGCCGCGUGAGGGAUGGAGGCCUGCGGGUUGUAAACCUCUUUCGCCAGUGAAGCAGGCCUGUCCCUUUUGUGGGUGGGUUGACGGUAGCUGGAUAAGAAGCGCCGGCUAACUACGUG
rnacentral:rRNA from 1 species